AGGACGAACGCUGGCGGCGUGCCUAACACAUGCAAGUCGAACGCGCUCCAUUCGGUAGCAAUACUGAUGAAGAGCGAGUGGCGAACGGGUGAGUAGCACGUGAGCAACCUGCCCCGAAGACUGGGACAACACCGGGAAACCGGUGCUAAUACCGGAUAUCCCUAUCGGACCGCAUGAUCUGAUAAGGAAAUGGAUUCCGCUUCGGGAGGGGCUCGCGGCCUAUCAGCUAGUUGGUGAGGUAACGGCUCACCAAGGCAUCGACGGGUAGCUGGUCUGAGAGGACGAUCAGCCACACUGGGACUGAGACACGGCCCAGACUCCUACGGGAGGCAGCAGUGGGGAAUCUUGCGCAAUGGGCGAAAAGCCUGACGCAGCAACGCCGCGUGGAGGACGAAGGCUUUCUGAGUUGUAAACUCCUUUCAGCAGGGACGAUAGUGACGGUACCUGCAGAAGAGCACGGCCAACGUACGUGCCAGCAG
rnacentral:rRNA from 1 species